UCAGCGGAUCAGUCUGGCCUACGGUAUGACUCAACAGAAAGGGAUUUUGCAUGCAGGCCUCGUGUCCCAGAAUGUGCCCUCGUGAAAUGCAGAGAGCAUUACGGUAGGCACACUGCCGGAUUGUUCGGAGGAUCUGAUGACAUGAAUAUGUAAAGUUUGAAUGGAUUGGCGCCUGGCUUGGUAAACAGUUGAUGCGACUAGCGGACAGCAGAGAUCCAAGAAAAGCAGGGCUCUCGCUGAGACACGGAGGCAGCUGAUCAGAUCGUUGUCUCUCUUCUUAACAAAAUCAAGUGAGAUUUCUUCAGCGAAUUCCCCCGCAUCCUCGACUUCCUGCAGAUUAGACAGAUUUCCUGCAGGGGACAUGCUUCCUGACUUCCCGUUCCAUUCCCACCACUGCAGGGUGAGGGCUGCUCGGGGCAAAACCAUCCCUGAGUCACCUGCUUCGCUCAGUGCCUCUGUACCCUUCCAAUUCCCACUGCUUCAUCGAAUGAGGUCUGAGCCGUAAACGCCCAGCGGAGAGUGGCCCUCAGAAGUUGAGCAUGCGUCAUUCACCACGGAUCUAAAUAGAGUGCUUCCUGCUGCCAGCAUUUUCCUGUCUUCACCUUCUUUCCUGUAAACAAGUCUUUACCUAAUUAUACGAUGAACAUUGCCCUUCCGGUGAAGAAUUGAUGUCUCGGUCAACAGGCCAGUGAGGGUCCAAGGCUGGCCAAUAGCCAUAUGCCAGAGUCCGGAAGCAGAUCUUCCUCCAGUCUAGCCAGAGACUGACUGCAGCCCUGGAGACAUGCUGACCCCAUCUUUUGGGAGGCUCUGAGCUGGAGGCACUCAGUGAAGCUGCCCCAGGAGUCCUAACCCACAGAAACGGGGAGAUAAUAAACAUUUGUGGUGUUCAGCUGCUGAUGUUGGGGUAA